GACGAACGCUGGCGGCGUGCUUAACACAUGCAAGUCGAACGGAAAGGCCCUGCUUUUGUGGGGUGCUCGAGUGGCGAACGGGUGAGUAACACGUGAGUAACCUGCCCUUGACUUUGGGAUAACUUCAGGAAACUGGGGCUAAUACCGGAUAGGAGCUCCUGCUGCAUGGUGGGGGUUGGAAAGUUUCGGCGGUUGGGGAUGGACUCGCGGCUUAUCAGCUUGUUGGUGGGGUAGUGGCUUACCAAGGCUUUGACGGGUAGCCGGCCUGAGAGGGUGACCGGCCAUGGGGUGAGCGGGCAACGGCGCAGAGCGAGAGGGGGGGCACAGGGGGGGAAAGGUGCAGAAGGGGCGGGAGCCUGGGGCGGCGGGGGCGGAUGGGUCACGGCGGCCUGCGGGCUGUGAACCGCGUGCGCGGGUGAGGAAGCGGGAGUGACGGUAAUGGGAAAAGAAGCACAGGCUAACGACGCGCCAGAAGCCGAGGUAUAAUCGGAAGAGCACACGGCUGACC
rnacentral:rRNA from 1 species